UCACAUGUGGCACUUCCACUCACAUGUUCUCACGUGUGGCACUUCCACUCGUGCCCUGCACGCAGGCACCCUGCACUCAGCCUAGCCUGGCAUGGGCAAAGGCUUGAUCAGCUCCAGCUCUGGGAGGGUGUUGUGGGUGUAUGUAUUCAGCAACAUUUGUCUUCAUGACUGCUGGGUGGAUUUUUGGUUUUCCCACUGAGCUUGUUCCUUUUAUACACAGCACUGCUGCAAUGCUGCCAAGCCUCUGCCCGUCCUGCCAUGCUACUGGGGCUGUGCAGUCCUUCCUUCUCCACCCCUGCCCCUCACCAGUCCCAGACACGGGGUUGGGGACAUGGAGGGGGUGAGGCGGGGGUUGGGCACUGACUGGGAGGCUGAGCAAGUAAUCACAUGUUGAGGAUGAAGGGAGUAGUUGUCUGCUAGCACUGUGUACAGAGUUGAGAGAUUGCUCAUGACCAUGGCAAAGUCCUGUAGCAGGUUGGGGGUGGUGGAGGAAUGUCAAGAUUUCUCAGGCUUUUUAUUGCUGUGACAAGAGAAUUGCCCCUGAGGAGCUUUCCUCAUCUACCCGCUUCAGGAGUUUGGAGGAGAGGAACAAAUGUCUGCACAGAAGUGGGGCAGUGAGAGAUGCUUUGCUGGUUACCCCUGGUGGGGUGAAGGCAGAAUGCUUACACUACCUUUACUGCCAUGUACUUUGCUAGACGCUUCCACAAACUCGGUCUCUAUGCAGGAAGGAGGAAUGGGCUGGUGCCUUCAGGACUGCGUGGGUAUACCUCUUUAAUUGGAAGGGAAUCCUCACAAAGGGAAUCUGAUUCAUUUUACUCUCACUCCUAAUGCAUCUGGCGGUAGACUUGCCUCAAGAACCAAAUGAAUCUUGAGCUGCUAUUACAUAUUGGAUCCCCCAUAUGAUUUGAAUUCACAUCCCUCAGGGAGGGGAGACUCUGUGGAUAACACCCAAAAUCCACCCAGUGUUCCUAGGUGGAGUUGGUGCUGCCUGCUGGUGGUCGGCUGGAAGGCGCUGAUGGCAUCGGGCUACGGUGGCAGCUGGGUGACACCUUGAAGAGUGGCAGCUUGCUGGGGACCCCAGAGUGGAAAAAAGGGGGCUGUGACUUGCUGCUCCCCUGCCAAAGUCACAGCCUCCACGGCAAGGUUUGGCUGCAGCAGAUGGGAGAGAAGAGCCGUGUCUGAGUGCUUUCAGGGGCAGAUGAUGUCCUCAGUCUGCAGUGACACCCAGCCUUGACCAGCACUGAGCAACUGAAAGUGUCACAGAGACACCAGGUGAACCCAGGAAAAAUGAAUGGCCAUGAGAUAAAACACAAAAUGAGCCAAAAAGGCAGAAUCUUACCAUAACACCAAUGUUAUGGUUAUAACUGGUCUGUUAACAAAUCAGCCAGCUCUUAUCUUGUAGCAGGGAGAUUGUUUUUGAGAACCUUGCAGAGCCAAAUGAAUUCAUGAGCCUCCAUACCAAGGUGCAAUCAUUAGUCAGUAAAUGAAUUACACAUAAUUAUCUGCUCUGUAUUUAAUUCACUUGGCUUCCAGUUUCUUACUCUUCAUACAGUGAAACUCUCUCUCCCUCUCACACAAACACACUCCUUGGGCAGGAGGUUUUGGAGGGCUGCCACGGCCCUGACUCACCAAUCAGACUCCGUGAUUUGAACGAUAUUUAUCUAAGCCUGCAAACAAAGAAGAUGGCUAUGUGUCCAAUGAGAGAAUAAUUAUUGUUAUUAUGUUUAUAGAGCAACAAAGUUGGGAGUUAGGACCCUGGGGGGAAGGUGGCAGGCAGGGUGAGCUGGGCAGUCUGCAGGCAGUGGCUCAGGACAGGCUUUGCAGGGCUCCCUGCCCCUGAGUCACCCCCGCAGCAAUGGCCCAGCAGCCCAGGUGAUGCAAGACCACCCCCCCAAAGGUUCCUGAUGUGGCACCAGGAAAACACUGGCCCUGCAAGGGGUUUGGCAGUGGCUGAAGGGAGCUGGGGCUGGCUCAGGGCACCCAGACACCACCACGGUGGGGCUGAGGGAGGGUGUGCCAGCCUGCAGAGAUCCAGCCCUGGCUGCACGGGGGAGCAGCACUGACAGAGCAGCCUCCUGCUUGAGCAGAGCUCCUUCCUUGUGCAGAAAUCACCUACAGCCACAACUACUGCAACUCACCUGCCAAGGAGAAAAUCCAGAGCAGAAAGAGCUUGUUAUGCAAGGAACAGCUGUUGCCACAGGAGGUUUAAAAAUAAAAAUGUCCUUUGAAAUGAUGUGGGUUCUCCCUGCUGCACAAGGCAAGGCUGGGCCUUGCUCCACCCCUUGGGAGAGCUUUGGACACUGACAGUGGCAGUGCCACGUGUGACCCAGGCUUGGUCCUGCCACCUGAGUGCUCCGUGUGCUCCAAGGGGGCAGGGACAGGGAAGGGUCCCACCUGUCCUUCAGCACUUCUCCAUGGCAGGGAAUAAGUUUGGUAAAACUCACCAUUUGAAACCUGUAUUUCUUCCAAGACUCAAAAGCCUCCUCUUGGCUGUGACUCCAAGUGUGCCAUGAAUUUAAAGGGCACCCCAGACCUCUGAUGUGAGGCUGCUGCCAAUGCCCCUGAACAAAACUCUUGGUUUUUGUUGAGACACAUCUGACUUCUGGUGGAUGUGUACAGAGGAAUAAUGAUUGGUAGCUUUUCAUCAACUUGGUACCAAGCAGCAGUCUCAGCCCUCAGAGCUGUGGCUCUGGAGAGCUUGGAGGAAUCUGGAAAUGCUUUGGUUUAAGGGCACAACCAGCUGUGGUAAUGGCACACAGCACUUCUGUCAAGAAAGCUGGAAAAAGUGUCAUUUCUACUUCCAUUAACUCACCUUGAGGAGGGUAAAGAUUGAGCCACUUUGUGAUUAUCUCAAAUCAUCUUUAGGUUAACAACAUACAGCCAGGGAGAGGGAGGGCAAACAGCCAGAGGAAGACUUUGUCUGGGAAUAAAAGUGAAUUUAGAAUGAAUCCUACACAGGGAACAAGACAUCCCAUCCUUGUUCUUCCAAGAUCACUGUGAAACAGUUCCAAAUUUUGUCUUUAUUAUUGGAAGGAAGGCAAAACCAAUAAUCUGGAUAAUUAUUAAUGCUUAAAAAAUACCACUAAAAUGCAAGAUAAAUAACUUCCAGCCAACCCAGUUUUAGCAGGAAGCUUUAUCUCACUAGAUGCUUUAACUGAUGACUAUGUCUGUGUUAAUAUCCUAGGGAGAAAAGUGGAAAGGCUUUGGCAAAGGAAGACUUGCCAAUGCAAUGACAGACAACAGUACUUUGGAUCACAAAGCAUUUCUUAGAGGAUGGGGAUUGAAGUGCUGGAUUUUUAAAAUUGUAGGAAAUAUUCCCUAUUUAAUUCCCUUUUCAGAGCAACUUAAAUUUACUGGAGAAGGUUGAAAACACCUCUAUGCCAACAUUAACAUCCCAAAGGCAGAAAAAGGCUGUAGAGGAGAGCAAUCAAAACUAUUUCUGGGACAACAGGGUCCACAAGAAGGAAGAUGUGAUUUUAUGGCCUCAGUAAAAACUGGGAGCCUUGGAUCAAGGCUUCCUUAUUUCCUCAAAACUGGCAGCUGACCUGAAGAGAGCCAAGGCAUCUCCCAGUGCUUCAGCCUGCAUUUCUGAGCAGCAAGGGGGCACUUGGAAGAAGCAAAGGACCUUGCAGCAUUUCCCUGCACUCACAGCAGCACUCAGCCCACAUGUACCAUUGAAAAUUGCUGCUUCUGCUGCAGGCUAUUUCCAAAUGGAGACAGAGCUUUGUGGCUCCAUAUAUGUUUGUUUAUUUAAAUAUCGGUUUGUUUGUCUAUCAGUUGAAUUAAUGAAAAUAUUACUGCUCUUUAAUGAAUUACUAUGAGGCAUUUUCAGACCCUUGAAUGGAGGGAGCAAACAAAGCCAGAUUACCAAGCAGGUGGUGAAAUAACUAAGCAGAAGAUUUCAUAAAUAUCAUUGUGCAUCCAGCAGUUUUCACAUCUUCCUCUGUCCCUCCAUGGUACACAGAGGGUUUAUAUCAUUACUACAGGUAGAAAAUCUAGAAAGCAGCCAGACAUUCCCUGCUUGCAGUCCCUGAGCAGUGACACCGUGAGCUGGGGGCUCGGUGUGGGUACCACAAAUUAUUCUUGUGAGCUGACAGAAAACAGUCAAAGGGCAGGGCUAUAAAUCAGUGCUUCACUAUAAAUCACUGCAUUUGUCACUUUGUCACACCCACUCCAGCACACCUUGGCCUUGAUGGGGCUUUAGUUUUUAAUUUUUCCAAUAGAGCAGCAUGGAUGGCAGCUGGCUUUGCCCACCUGAGCAUGGUCACAGUGUCACACAGAGCACAGGGCAGCUCUGCCCAUCCCUGCCAGACCAAGGAGGUGCCUGGUAAAUGCUGCUCUGCAGCUGGGGUGUGGUGCUGUGAGCAGGGCUGUGGAGCACAUCCAACCUUCUCCCAGUGCCAGCAGAGCAAGCCCAGGGCUGUCUGCAGCCUCUGGAGACACAGAUCUAUUCAGCAGAACACAAGAACUUACUAGCAGGUCCAAUUCCAGGGUGAACACUGUUUAUUUUGGUGCAAGAUCAGUAUGGGAACACACGCUUCCAAUUCUGAGAGAGGAAUUUUCCCAGUUUACAAACUGUUCCAUGUUCAUGGAGUUUCAAAUUAUUGUAAGUAACAAAAGAGCACAGAUUCAGUAGCAGAAAUAAGAAUAAAGCACACAGUUCUUGCUGGACAUCUUGAGUUAUCCCAGUGAAGCCAACACAGUAUUUUGCACAAUGAUUGAUAGAUUGUGCCUAUGGAAAUUUUACUUAUUUUUGCUGAAGGUAACCUUGAGUGUCCUGGGACAAUUGCAGUGCUGAGCCAUGCUCAUGUGUGCUUUGGAAGCUUAGAAGGCAGAAGGAAUGGAAAGAACCACAUCCUCCUCCAGACCACAAAUCAUGCCUGUUUGUACCUGAAAGACCAUAAAUUUAUCUGUUUGCAGAGCCCUGGCAGGCUGCCUGGGAACUUCCAUUAAAAGAUGUAGUCCUGCAGUGCACCUCACAGUGUCAAAGGUGGUGUCUCUAGCAUGCAAAGGAAAGCUCUAAGGUCAUGUCUGUGAUUAAAAUAAUAAUAAUAAAAAAAAAUCUCUGGUUGAUUUGACUGCAUUAAUCAGUGUGGCUCUUGGUGAACUUCCUCCAGUAAUAAUGCAGCCCAUUCCAGUUCCCAGCUUUUACAUGAUUCCAUUUGGUUUUGUUGCACAACCCUUGCUCUAGGUUGAACCUAUGAAUUCAUAUUUUGGUGCAGUGAAGCAAUCCAGCCCUGACCUUGCCACGGUUCCUUUCACACAGGUGAAGUGUCCUCUGCAGCCAGGGAGGGCCUGGCUCCAUGGCAGGACAGGUCAUGUCCUUUACAGCCCAGGCAGGCAAGGUCUGAGUGCUGCUCCUGACCCCCAGGCCUUUCCA